GAUGAACGCUGGCGGCGUGCCUAACACAUGCAAGUCGAGCGUGAACCCUGCGAAUGAAACUUCGGUCGAUUUUGCAGGGGGAAAGCGGCGGACGGGUGAGUAACGCGUAGGUAACCUGCCCCAUACUGAGGGAUAGCCUCGGGAAACCGGGAUUAAUACCUCAUAACACCGUAUAUUCGCAUGGAUGUGCGGUCAAAGAUUUAUCGGUAUGGGGAUGGGCCUGCGUCUGAUUAGCUGGUUGGUGGGGUAACGGCCUACCAAGGCGACGAUCAGUAGCCGACCUGAGAGGGUGAUCGGCCACAUUGGAACUGAGACACGGUCCAAACUCCUACGGGAGGCAGCAGUGGGGAAUAUUGCACAAUGGGCGAAAGCCUGAUGCAGCAACGCCGCGUGAGCGAAGAAGGCCUUUGGGUCGUAAAGCUCUGUCGGGUAGGAAGAUAAUGACGGUACUACCCGAGGAAGCCCCGGCUAACUACGUGCCAGCAGCCGCGGUAAAAUGCGUACU
rnacentral:rRNA from 1 species